ensembl:lncRNA
CCUGUGCCAACUUCCCCAACAUACCCAAGAAUUUCUUUAUUUAGAAACUCUCAUGUGCUAUUUUUUUUAAAUCUCUGGAAUCUCAGGGAUUUUCCCAUCCCUCUACAUGCUCGAGACGUUUCAGGGCAUGGUAACCCCCUGUUGGAAUCCUCUAACUCUUCUGUUUUAUUUUUAUAAUGUGGGCUGUAUUAGUGUACAGGAAGUGACUGUUCCUAUGACAAAGGAGGGUGAGAUUCCCAGAGUGUAUGGCAAUACCACUGAAGACUGUUGUGGAGAAGGCAACUCUGUGAGCCACCAAAGCCUCCUUUUAAGGCAUCCUUGAAAAUCAAGAGAUUUUGAAAUCAAGAGCUUUAUGAGAAGGGCUGAUUUCUAACUCCUACCGCUGUUAACCUUCCUCCAGGAAUGAGUUUAUGUCUGUACCAUUCUGAGUGGGCUUUAGCAUCCUUGCAUAUGUUCAACACUUAAAAACCUGAUGGUAUAAAACACCAGAAAAUGUAGGAAAGCUUCCAGGCAAGAGCAUGUGGUAAGUGGGGGAAGUUCUUUCCUCAAGGGAUUAGAGGUCUCUUAGAGUCAGAUUGCAUGUGUGUUUGUGUAUAUGUCCAUGUUUUGUGCAGAUGAUACAUGUAUGAACCAGACAUGCUAGGCUGUGGUCCAAGGGUGUGAGAAAUGAUAGUGUGAUAAUUUGUCUUCUCUGUCAUGGCACCCCGUGUAGCUCACAGUCAGGGAUAUCAAGUUUAUUAUUUUGUAUCUUCAUCCUCCAAUAAAGGCUGGCAUAUUGGUGCUCAGUACUAGGUUAAAUGCACACAUGUUUGUCUUAAGUAACUUUUUGUGUUAUUGAGACACAAUACCUGACACCUUCAACUUAGAAGAGGAAAGGUUUAUUUUGUCUCACAGUUUGUGGAGGUUUCAGUCCAUAGUCAGCUGGCUCCAAGGCAGUACAGCAUAGCAGAGAGGCAUGUCAGAAGAAUUGCUUAUGGCAUUGCAGUAGGAAGGAGAGAGCCAUCAGGGCAGGAGCUGGGCAGAGACAGACCCAGGCCAAGCCCCCAGUGACCCACCUCUUCCAACCAGACCCCACCUCCUAACAGCAAACCAGCUCUGAACUCUCAUAAUCCAAUCCCCUUCCGAAAGCCUACCUAUGAGCACAUGAGGGUUUAGGGGGACAUCUACACCAUAAAAACAUUAAAAAGAGAGAAGAAGGAAAGGAUGAGAGAAAAGAAGUGGUACCUUUGAGGUGGUAUCCAACAAGACAGGACAGGGCACUAAUGUUUUUGAUGUUUCUAGUUGUGUUAGAACGGUCUGCACAGGUGGGGAGUGUGCUUGGCACACUUGGGGAACGAGAAAGGAGGCUUUUCAGCAGAGCCAAGCUGACUUGAGAUUGCACACAUAAAACUUAUCUCUAAGUGACUCAUGACCUGGGGUCACACAAUGGAGGCUCAGCCAUAGGUAGGGAAGAAAACGAAGGUUGGGUAAUGAGUGCAGAGUAGAAAUUUGCAUUGGAAACAGCUUCAUUGGUUGUGGAAAUGUGUUUUCAGUGUCUGCUGUUUGUAGAUGUUUUCUUUCUAAGAUUGUUUAGAAAAGUAGGGUGAGAUAUUAAGUUUCUGGAAAAGACUGGCUUUAUCUCGAAAGUGGCUUAGAUAACAGUUGGAGUCAGAAGAUUCUUAGGUUCCUGCUUCAAGG